rnacentral:rRNA from 1 species
UACGAAGGGGGCUAGCGUUGUUCGGAAUAACUGGGCGUAAAGCGUAUGUAGGCGGAUCUUUAAGUCAGAGGUGAAAUCCCAGGGCUCAGCCCCGGCAUUGACUUUGAUACUGGAGAUCUGGAGUCUGGGAGAGGUGAGUGGAAUUCCGAGUGUAGAGGUGAAAUUCGUAGAUAAUCGGAGGAACACCAGUGGCGAAGGCGGAUCACUGGCCAGAGACUGACGCUGAGAUGCGAAAGAGUGGGGAGCAAACAGG